CUUUUCUUCUCGCAACUACCUAAUAUUCAAUCUUCUCCCCGCAACAGUCUAUUACACAUAGAGUUAAUCCAAAAUCCUCUAGAAAUAUUUAUCCCUUCUGUUAGUUGAUGAGGAAGAAACGUUCGGACCAGUAGGAUAGUAUCCUUUAUAUUCUUCCUCAAAUGAUGAGCUUGCAAUCCUUCUACCUCGUUCUAGGUUUUGGGGUCACCGCAGCUAUCUUUGCUUGCAACCAUCGCUGCUUCCUGCUGCAGCAGCUUUCACAUCCUCCUAAAUCCAGAUCUUUCAAGUAAGCGUCUCUUUUCCUUGAUUUUAGGCAUGAAUUAUGUGAGAAUUGAAGAAGGAUUGAUUUAUCCAGAAACUUUGUGUUCCCAAUUGAGUCUAUAUAAAGGGAGAUUUAGGAUUGGAAUAGGCAUCCCAGCACAAUCCAAAGAAACCCAAAAACAAGCUUAGAAACAAUAGCAAUGAAGCCAAGCAUUCAUGCAUUUACCAGCUUCAACUCUCAGCCAUCCUCCUAGAAACUCUCAUUCAAACCAAUUUCCCAGAAAUCCCAAAUCCAGAAACCCAAUUCUCUCACACCACGCUUCAUGCUGUCAAGCCCAUUUGUUGUUUGAAUCACAUACAAGAUUUCUCUUUAAUCGGAUUAUUGGGUUAAUCUUGGCCUAGUCGCAAUUUAAUUCGAAAAAAGACCCUCACAGCUACUCACUUUUUAGUUGGAUGGUUUCGGUCACAACCCAGUAAAAGACCAUUUUGCCCUUCUCUCAUAUCUUCUUACAAUUUUGCCACUCAAUUUUCAGUUACUUUUCAUUAAAGUUACGAAAAAUACUAUUUUACCCUUCUCGGAUAGCCUAAUUACGGUUUUGCCAUGCCUCCACUCUAACCCCGUAGCAACGAGCGGGUCACUACCUAAUGAGGUAAUAGCCUCCAGUUUUUUACAAAACCUAUGAGAGCUCUCGCUCUCUCACUACGGCGGCGGCUAACCUUAGGGUUUCCCCGCCCAAACACCUUGACUGGCGACGUUCUUGUUUAUGGUUCUCAGCUGACCACUCUCUUGGCCUCGCGAAUCCCUCCAUGGCAAUCCCCAGGUUGCUACACCUCUUAAUUUCGAUGUUGGAUCUCUUCCCUGGCAUUCACUUCCAAUGUCAGGAAUGAUGAUGGACUGCGAUGCGUCUCUCUAGCGGAUCUGAAUCACUCUUGGGAUCCCGGGUUUAGCAUUGAGGCAAGAGAUCAAUCCUUCGUUGGUGGAGACCCGAUCUGUUGUUGGCCGGCGGCAUAGAUGUGUGGGUAUUGUCCCCAAAUUCAGAGGUGGCAGUCCACGACUGAGGAAGGUACAAGAAGCUCAGAUCUAUGGAGGUGAGCCACAACUUCCGUUUUACAUCAGAGGUUUUUUGGGUUGUACGACUUGAGGCAGCCGGGAUGAGACCUAGCUAGUGAUCAGUUGUGGAUGAGUUGUUUCCGGCAUGAGAAGGCGGCGCAAUGGCUAGUUUCAAGGGCAUGGCAGCGCUAGUUAUGGAGUUGUGAUCCAGGUCGAAUCUGGCUUCGGGUCUGGAGCAGGGUCUGGGUCUGGGAUCCAGGUGGGCCUUGCGGGCUUUGGUACUGGAAUCCAAUUUCUUUUUUCUCUUGGAAAUACUGCCAAUGUCUUUGGUUUUGGCCUUUACACUGGUAUUGCUAUUGGUUGACAGACCCACAACUAUGGUAUUUGUUCGUUAAAGAUCGGCUGCCAUCACGGCCAUAGGAAUCACCCUUGGUCAGCUUCAUUUCUUCAAGUGGCAGAUUACCCUUAGCCGGGUGCCGAAGUGAUUUUUAUCAUUUUGGGCAUUGGAUUUGAUGAGUAGUGAAAUCAUCGACUACUCAUUUCGCUCAACGGCUGCAAUUCGUGAGCGUAACACCGAGUCUAAACGUUAUUGUUUUAGCGCUGACACCGUUAUUGCAAUUUUACUUUCAAAUGCUUUUGUUUUCUCGAUAUAUCUUUACAUCAUCUCUAUGUAAUCUUUUGAUUAUAAUAAAGUGAUGACCUUUUCCAUUCAAAAAAAAAAAAACACACUGAACUCGACAGCAAACUCAUUUACUAUCAGAAUUGGGUAAAUGUGUAUCUAUAUUUAGGGAAAAGGCUUUGUUUGCUCAUUAAUUUGAAUAUGCUUUUGAUUCUUUAUACUUCACCGCGUGUAUCAUGUCCAUAUAUAAAUUUAACAAUCUCUAAUCCAAUCUUCUAAAUGCAUCCAGUGAUUAUGGUUUCAAACAGUUUGCAAUCUAAUUAAAACCUUGUAUGAGGUUGAAUCGGUUUGUAUAUGUUUGCUUUAUAAUAAGUUGCAAUUUUUUUGUCCUUUUUUUUAUUUUUUAUAUUUUUAUAGAGGGUUUGGAACGACCUAACAUAUCUGGAAGGCUCAGCCGUAAGAAGUUGCAAUUAUGUUCAUGGAGGAGUUAAUAAUCCAACUAAAAUUUUUUCUUUGCAACAAAAAAUAAAUAAAAUAAAAGGUAAUGCAUAUAUAGUUUAAGAUCGUUACCACAUGAUUAUUAUGAAAGUGAACAUUCAUGUAGCGAGAUACAGGUACAACAUGUGAUUACUGUACUUCUGUAGUUCUGUCUGACCACAAAUACAUCCUUAAUACAGGAAAAAUCAACACACACUAUUACUUCCAAUUAUUGCACAAAUUUACACUCCCUGCUUAAUUUGUCUAGUUCUUGUACACAAAUUGAAGGAAAUGUUUGUUUCAUGAACAUUUCAUAUGAAAGCGCUUAGGCCGCCCCCUUCUGCUAGAUCCAUUUUACUAUAACUGUGCCAUCUCGAUCAGUUCUAUAAGAUUGACUUUGACGUAGUACAAUUUGAUAGCUGAAUUAAUGGUGACUCAACCAUGCUAAUGCAGGUGCAAUCUGUUGAAAAAUUGGAGGCAGCAUUAAUCAAUGAAUCAAACAAACAAUGAGCUCUCUCUCUCUCUCUCAUAUUUUCUUUUUACUAGGUAGGGUUUUGGAUUAGAACUCAAAAUAAUGAGUAUUCAAGAGAUACGUACCCCAGUUUGAUUGCAUUUGCUGGAGCAUUAUUGUUCUGUGGCUGAUCAGUUUGAUUAUGUGGCUGGCUUAGCUGGACAUGGAUGGGUGCAUGCAACUGAAAUCCAUUAGUAAUGGCAAAUGGGGGUUCAGAGCCUCUGUGUUCUUCAUUCACAUCCCUUGUUCCAUAGGCCUACAAGUGAAAACUUUUUAGCUUUUACAAGAGAAGAAAAUCAAGAAAUCAACACUUUCCAUAAUGUUAAUAAACAGUUUUUUUUUUUUGAUCAGGUAAACAACUCAAAUAUUACAACUAUGUGAGUCGAACUUACAACCUCCCACUUACUAAAAGAAGACUAUGCCGCUAGACCAAAUUAAUGGUAUUGGGUGUUAAUAUAUAGUUAACAUUAUGGUUUUGCUCUGAGUAUUUCUAAAAUUGAAAAGAACAAAAAUUAAGGGAAGGAAAAUGAAUUGUGUUUAGACAAUACCGUACCUUUCUUUGGAGUUCGGCAUUCUCUUUACCUAUGAAGUCUAGCUUCUUAUACAGUUCUAUGUUCUCUUGAUGUAUGAGAUUUCCCUGAAACAAACUGGCAAAUAUUAGAAAAAUAAGCACCAUCAACAUUAUUUCAUUAAGAAAAUGGGAGAAAUUAUUGGUUAACCUUCUGGUUCUGGUCUUUUAUUUCUUCAUGUAAUAGCUGAUCGUGUAGAAAAAUUAAUUUGUAAAUGAUUGUUAAUUUGUUAUACAUGUGCUAACCAUAUAAGGAUCAUAAUUAAACUGAAAAUAAUAUUAGUGUCUAAUCAGAUAUAGGCUAUGGUACCUUUUUCAACCGGACACCUUUCAAACUCAUGUCCAGUUUGCUUUCCAGGUUCUGUAGAUCUUUGGCGCUCAAUCCAGAUAGUUCUUCACCCAUCAAUUGCCUAAAUAUUUCACAAAACAUGUGCACGUAUGCUCUCAAGGUUCUCAUACAUUAACUGAUAGUCAUUAUAUCUUUGUUGACUAAACCAUCAUCUUUUUUGGGUAAACCAUCAUCUUGAGUGUCAAAGGAAGCAACUAUUUAAGUGAUCUCCAAAAACUGAAUGUUAAUGGAUUCUCUUCUUUGUCAGAAUUUGAGGGUUUGGGUUACUGUUUUCGGUAUGGGACUGUUCCAGCUGGUGAUGCACAUGAACUAUAAUGUGAUUUUAUAAGAAUUCAACCCCAAAAGGAAGAAUGAUUUUGAAUUGCAAAUUAGGGAGUGUCAAUUUCAUUCUUCUUAUGAAAACUUCAAUAACCAACAUGCAGGUCGGAAAUUAUAUCAUUCAAUUUAAAGAAAAAAAAUGUAGUUCAAAUCAAACUCCUAGGUUUUAGUUGAGUGUUCAGUAUCUAGGAUGUGAUUAUUGUACCUGUGAGAUUCUUGCAAGUACUGCAAUUGUUGCCUCAAGCUUGCUGCUUCCCUUUGCCAAAACUAGCAUAUAUAUAGCACAAAAAAAACUUAUUCUCAUGCAAUGCAAUAUUAGAUACAGAAAGAUGAGCAUUCAUGCGAUUACUCAGAGCACUUUUUUUUUCUUUUUCUUUUUCUUUUUUGUGAGAAUCAGAACACUGUACUUUUGAGUAUAUAAUGUAGAUGAGUUGAUGAAAAAGAAGUCGAUACAUUUAAGCCAAAAACAAUAAAAUAUCAAUCAUAAUUGAUUAGCUUUGUUGAUAUAUUCCUUUUUCUGUCAUCGUUCAUGUACCAUAGUAGUUCACCCAGAAGUCAUCGUUUCCAGGUUAAACCCUAAAAAAAAACUCAAUUAAAUUACCCAUUAUAUUCAAAUCAAGCUAUCAAUUAAUCAAGAAAAUUACACUAAUAUGAUUAGGACACAACUUGAACCCAAAAGCACCUAUUACUCCUCAAAAUCUAAUUCACUCAACAACGUACAUAUCAUCAUCGCAAGAGAAAAUGAUAAUAUCUGUAGUACUAAAUGACAUGUUCACAUAUAUUUACAUAUGCGUGACACCUUCUGAAGUUCAAGUCUUGAUCUAAAAGCUGAUGUUUACUGAGCAAGAGCAGAGAGAAAAAGCUCGUUAUAUUAAGUUCUGACGUGGUGUUGGCUUUGGAUUCUAACAGGAUCGGAGUUGUUGGAUUACACAAUUAGAGACAUAUAACUACUCACCAUGCCAUUUAUUGAUCUAAAUGAAUUUUGAUUUUCAGAUUAAGUGUCUGUGAACGUGGAGAACCUGCAGAAUGGCAUCAAGAGUAGUCUUGUGAGUUCAACAUGGAUGGUACAUGAAGAAAAAUUUGGUUUAUGACUACAAUGUCAUUGUCAGAUAAAUUACUUGAGUUUGGAUUGUCAAAUUGUCUCGCAGGGAAAUCUAGAAGGCUUCAUUUCAAGACUUGGUUACUCAUGAGCCUGCAUGCCACUUGUAUGAUGAAGUUGCGGCAAGUAUUCUAUCUUUUGUUACAGAAUAGCUGACUUGAGGGACAGGUAACACAAUAGCACUUGAAUAAAGUAUAAUGUAGUAACAGUUAUAUUUCUUUUAGCUUUAGAUGCACAGUAGAUUUUAAGCAUUUGUAUAAUUGUAUCCAUACCCUCGCAAGUUGAAAGGAUUUUAAUUUCGCACCUUUUGGAUUAGAAUUGGGAGUAGUUGCACGUCUUUCCUCUCAGAUAUGUGCAAAUAGGGAGCUGAGUAUGUGAACCAUCUGUUUUUGCAAUGUCCAGUUGCUUUGUAUAUCUGACCCUCGCACAUGGAAAGGAUUUCAAUUUGGCACCUUUUGGAUAUGCAUCGGCGUUAUCUAAAAUAGCUCUUUUUUCUACUCACUUAGAUUGGAAUGCUGCAGUUAUCUAGUACGUUUUCGCCACCUACAUGGAUUAGUUCUGGUCAGAAUCAAGUAGUGGAGAUAUUGUGGCAUUCCCUCUGCUUGGUCAAAAGAAACGAACUAUUAUUCAAUGGAAUUUUGUUGAAGAAUAUUCCAACCUUGAACUUAUGCUACUAUCCAGACCUUCAGCACCUUCAUACUUUCUACUGUAGUUUUGUUCUUUUCUUCUGCAAAUGCAAACCAAAUAUGCAUUAGCUUAAGGGGUACGUAGCUAGCUAGCCUCAUUGCUACUUGGAUGUUAUACGUAUGAAAGUUAGCACUUCUCUCGCUGCAGCAUCUAUAGAUUUUCCCCGUGUACGUACGUACUCCAAUUUUCCAUAUUUGUAAUUGAUAUCAUAACGAGAUCAUGCUUGUGUAUGUUUGACCUAGAGCAUAUAUAUAGUGUUGCAUGCCGUGGUCUUAGAUAAACUUAAAGCCUGGCAUAUCUGGC
rnacentral:lncRNA from 1 species